UGCAAGUCGAACGAACUCUGGUAUUGAUUGGUGCUUGCAUCAUGAUUUACAUUUGAGUGAGUGGCGAACUGGUGAGUAACACGUGGGAAACCUGCCCAGAAGCGGGGGAUAACACCUGGAAACAGAUGCUAAUACCGCAUAACAACUUGGACCGCAUGGUCCGAGUUUGAAAGAUGGCUUCGGCUAUCACUUUUGGAUGGUCCCGCGGCGUAUUAGCUAGAUGGUGGGGUAACGGCUCACCAUGGCAAUGAUACGUAGCCGACCUGAGAGGGUAAUCGGCCACAUUGGGACUGAGACACGGCCCAAACUCCUACGGGAGGCAGCAGUAGGGAAUCUUCCACAAUGGACGAAAGUCUGAUGGAGCAACGCCGCGUGAGUGAAGAAGGGUUUCGGCUCGUAAAACUCUGUUGUUGAAGAAGAACAUAUCUGAGAGUAACUGUUCAGGUAUUGACGGUAUUUAACCAGAAAGCCACGGCUAACUACGUGCCAGCAGCCGCGGUAAUACGUAGGUGGCAAGCGUUGUCCGGAUUUAUUGGGCGUAAAGCGAGCGCAGGCGGUUUUUUAAGUCUGAUGUGAAAGCCUUCGGCUCAACCGAAGAAGUGCAUCGGAAACUGGGAAACUUGAGUGCAGAAGAGGACAGUGGAACUCCAUGUGUAGCGGUGAAAUGCGUAGAUAUAUGGAAGAACACCAGUGGCGAAGGCGGCUGUCUGGUCUGUAACUGACGCUGAGGCUCGAAAGUAUGGGUAGCAAACAGGAUUAGAUACCCUGGUAGUCCAUACCGUAAACGAUGAAUGCUAAGUGUUGGAGGGUUUCCGCCCUUCAGUGCUGCAGCUAACGCAUUAAGCAUUCCGCCUGGGGAGUACGGCCGCAAGGCUGAAACUCAAAGGAAUUGACGGGGGCCCGCACAAGCGGUGGAGCAUGUGGUUUAAUUCGAAGCUACGCGAAGAACCUUACCAGGUCUUGACAUACUAUGCAAAUCUAAGAGAUUAGACGUUCCCUUCGGGGACAUGGAUACAGGUGGUGCAUGGUUGUCGUCAGCUCGUGUCGUGAGAUGUUGGGUUAAGUCCCGCAACGAGCGCAACCCUUAUUAUCAGUUGCCAGCAUUAAGUUGGGCACUCUGGUGAGACUGCCGGUGACAAACCGGAGGAAGGUGGGGAUGACGUCAAAUCAUCAUGCCCCUUAUGACCUGGGCUACACACGUGCUACAAUGGAUGGUACAACGAGUUGCGAACUCGCGAGAGUAAGCUAAUCUCUUAAAGCCAUUCUCAGUUCGGAUUGUAGGCUGCAACUCGCCUACAUGAAGUCGGAAUCGCUAGUAAUCGCGGAUCAGCAUGCCGCGGUGAAUACGUUCCCGGGCCUUGUACACACCGCCCGUCACACCAUGAGAGUUUGUAACACCCAAAGUCGGUGGGGUAACCUUUUAGGAACCAGCCGCCUAA
rnacentral:rRNA from 1 species